UGGGUCCGGAAAGCGUGUGUGGCCGAAUUGCGUCUGGUCUUUCCUUCCUGUCAUGGUGACUCCACCACCUUGCUGGGCAGGCCGUUGCCCCGUCUAAUCACCGUUUCUGUGAAGAAAUUACUCCUGAUGUACAACCUGAGCCUCCCCUACCUCAGCUUGAGGCUCUGCACUCUUGUCCUGUCACCUGGUGCCUGUGAAAAGAGGCCGACCCCCACCUGGCUGCGCUCUCUUUUCAGGCAGAUGUAGACUACAAAGAGGUCUCCUCUGAGCCUGCUCCAAGCUAAACACCCCCAGCUCCCUCAGCUGCUCCUCACAGGACUUGUGCUCCAGACCCUUGCCCAGCUCCGUUGCCCUUCUCUGGACAUGCUCCAUCCAGCACCUCAAUGUCCUUGCAGUGAGGAGCCCAAAUAUGAACACAAGAUUUGAGGUGUAGCCUCACCAGUGCUGGGUACGGGGAGAUAACCACUGCCCUGGUCCUGCUGGCCACACUAUUGCUGAUACAGGCCAGGAAGCAAUUGGCCUUCUUGGUCACUGAAGAGAAAUGUAGUCUCUGGAAUUUUUUGAGUAUGAUCUUGAAUCUGCUGCAGACAUUUUGUUCUACAUUUUGAACAAAUGAAGAGGCCAGCUCUCUCACCCUCUACCUGUAUGAAAGAUGCUGCAGUCCCUUCAUCAUCUUUAUGUCCCUCUGUAGGACUGACUUCAAUCUGAUCAUGCUUCUUUUUGUUUUGAGGAGCCCAGAACUGGGUGGAGCCUCGAUAUAUCUCACUAGGCCUGAGUAGAGGGAAAGGAUCACAUCAGCCUGCAUGUAAUGUAAUUUCCAGAAGCUGCUGACAUGUUUUGCUUC